UACAGAGGUCUCAAGCGUUGUUCGGAUUCAUUGGGCGUAAAGGGUGUGUAGGUGGCGCGCUAAGUCGGGUGUGAAAUUUCGGAGCUUAACUCCGAAACUGCAUUCGAUACUGGCGUGCUUGAGGACUGGAGAGGAGACUGGAAUUUACGGUGUAGCGGUGAAAUGCGUAGAUAUCGUUUGGAACGCCAAAGGUGAAAACAGACAGCUGGGAGUGUGCUGACGCUGAGACACGAAAGCCAGGGGAGCGAACGGG
rnacentral:rRNA from 1 species